CGUCAGGUAGCUCAGUGGUUUAGAGCAGUCGCCCGGCAAGCGAAAGACCCGGGUUCGAUUCCCGGGCUAGCGA
rnacentral:tRNA from 1 species